GCCGCGUGGAGGAUGACACUUUUCGGAGCGUAAACUCCUUUUCUUAGGGAAGAAUUCUGACGGUACCUAAGGAAUAAGCACCGGCUAACUCCGUGCCAGCAGCCGCGGUAAUACGGAGGGUGCAAGCGUUACUCGGAAUCACUGGGCGUAAAGGGCGCGUAGGCGGAUUAUCAAGUCUCUUGUGAAAUCUAAUGGCUUAACCAUUAAACUGCUUGGGAAACUGAUAGUCUAGAGUGAGGGAGAGGCAGAUGGAAUUGGUGGUGUAGGGGUAAAAUCCGUAGAUAUCACCAAGAAUACCCAUUGCGAAGGCGAUCUGCUGGAACUCAACUGACGCUAAGGCGCGAAAGCGUGGGGAGCAAACAGGAUUAGAUACCCUGGUAGUCCACGCCCUAAACGAUGUACACUAGUUGUUGGGGUGCUAGUCAUCUCAGUAAUGCAGCUAACGCAUUAAGUGUACCGCCUGGGGAGUACGGUCGCAAGAUUAAAACUCAAAGGAAUAGACGGGGACCCGCACAAGCGGUGGAGCAUGUGGUUUAAUUCGAAGAUACGCGAAGAACCUUACCUGGGCUUGAUAUCCUAAGAACCUUUUAGAGAUAAGAGGGUGCUAGCUUGCUAGAACUUAGAGACAGGUGCUGCACGGCUGUCGUCAGCUCGUGUCGUGAGAUGUUGGGUUAAGUCCCGCAACGAGCGCAACCCACGUAUUUAGUUGCUAACGGUUCGGCCGAGCACUCUAAAUAGACUGCCUUCGUAAGGAGGAGGAAGGUGUGGACGACGUCAAGUCAUCAUGGCCCUUAUGCCCAGGGCGACACACGUGCUACAAUGGCAUAUACAAUGAGACGCAAUACCGCGAGGUGGAGCAAAUCUAUAAAAUAUGUCCCAGUUCGGAUUGUUCUCUGCAACUCGAGAGCAUGAAGCCGGAAUCGCUAGUAAUCGUAGAUCAGCCAUGCUACGGUGAAUACGUUCCCGGGUCUUGUACUCACCGCCCGUCACACCAUGGGAGUUGAUUUCACUCGAAGCCGGAAUACUAAACUAGUUACCGUCCACAGUGGAAUCAGCGACUGGGGUGAAGUCGUAACAAGGUAACCGUAGGAGAACCUGCGGUUGGAUCACCUCCUUUCUA
rnacentral:rRNA from 1 species